rnacentral:tRNA from 1 species
AGGCCUGUGGCUCAAGUGGCUAGAGCACCGGACUCCAAAUCCGGCGGUUGGGGGUUCGAGUCCCUCCAGGCCUG